GAGUUUGAUCAUGGCUCAGAGUGAACGCUGGCGGCGUGCUUAACACAUGCAAGUCGAGCGGACUGAGUUGGUGCUUGCACCAAUGAGGUUAGCGGCAGACGGGUGAGUAAUACAUGGGAAUUUUCCUUGCAGUGGGGGGAUAACUAUUGGAAACAGUAGCUAAUACCGCAUAUUGUCGAGAGAUGAAAGAUUUAUCGCUGCAAGAUAAGCCCAUGCAAGAUUAGCUAGUUGGUAGGGUAAUGGCCUACCAAGGCAAUGAUCUUUAGUUGGUCUGAGAGGAUGAUCAGCCACACUGGAACUGAGACACGGUCCAGACUCCUACGGGAGGCAGCAGUGGGGAAUAUUGGACAAUGGGCGAAAGCCUGAUCCAGCAACGCCGCGUGAGUGAAGAAAGCCUUAGGGUUGUAAAGCUCUUUUAGUGGGGAAGAUAAUGACGGUACCACAGAAAAAGCCCCGGCUAACUUCGUGCCAGCCGCCGCAGUAAU
rnacentral:rRNA from 1 species